rnacentral:lncRNA from 1 species
AACUAGACAAAUUGGCCAUUUGAGAUUGCCCUUAUCUUUGUCCAAUUGGAGGUGGCAUAAGUUGGAAACUUCUAGUUGCUGUCUUCAUUAGCCACCAUCUUUUGGACCCAUGGUGGUUAUGUGGGCAAAUUAGUGACUUGCCACCAUCUUUGGACCAAUCAAAACUGCAGCAUAAGGUGCCACCCCAUCCUAAGGAAAACAACAACAAAAUACAACCCAAAUAAUUUGGGGUUUUUUAGAUGUCUUAAAUAGUCCGUACAAUGUAAGAACAUAUAAGAGUACAAAAUUACAUAAAUACCAUGUAACACUUUCUAAUACUAACGUACUCCAUGUCUGACCAGAAAACUGACCAGCAGCAGUCUCCAAUCAGUUUCUGCCUUCCGGCUUCAGCUUCCUGGUUGCCGAUCAGCCUGCUUCAGUUCUGCCUUCCACCUUAUCGCUUUGUGUCAUGCUCUAAUUCUGCGUUUUGCUACUUGCUCCACUCUGAUCUUCGCCUCCGUUCCAGAUCUGGUUGGGUAACAGGUCGGCGGAACCAAACUUGUCAAGAGAUGGAGGAACCGUGCCGAGCUUGCGCAACACACGGGGUGGACAAGAACUCUGUGUGAUCUGCUUCACUUCAAGUUCGCAUUGCCGACCUUCUUCUUCUGCCACAAAUCCACACACAAACAAGAAGCUUUUUUGGCCGUGAUCUACACUUCGCGCAGAUCUGCCUGAGUAGACUAAGCCGAGCCGUGUCUAGUCCAAGUCGACUUGAGCUGCUGUCCAAAUCGUGUCGCUUCUGGACCAAGCUGAGUUUGAGCCGAAUUCGAGCCAUUUUUAAGCUGAGCUUGAGCCGUUUUUAGCCGAGUCCAAGUUAUUUUUAGCCAACUUUGAGCUGGACCCAAACUGUUUUUGAGCCAAACCCGAGCUAUUUUUGAGUCGAGCCGAACUGAGCUAAACUGCUACUUGACAAAUUUGGUUUCAGUUUGUAUCAUUUUUUGGACAUCUUUGGGUACUGAUUAGAAGGAUG